AUAAAGUUUCAGUAAACUUUGGUUUAAUGUAUAAUAUACAUAUUAGGAUUUUGAAAAUAAUAAGGAAUCUGUAUGUGACCACUUGUGUUCUGAGGCAUUUUAUGGUGAAUCAAUGGAAGUUUAAUAACACAAAUAAUAUAGCUCUGAUGUCUUUGAUACCAUCUGAUGAACAGAAUACGUUCUCAUUUGAUUGGUGCGAUUUUGAUUGCAAAGAACAUCUAAAAACUUGUUUAAUUGGUGCCAAAAAAUUUAUUCUUCACGAAGAUAUGAAUCGAUUGGAUGCAGCUAAAGCUCAUUAUAAAAGAGUAUAUAUAUGCGUCACGAUAUUCAAAACAAUUGUCGUUAGUGGCAUGCUGUGGCUGAUGUAUAAAUAUAUCUUUUGAUGACCGAUGAA